CUCCUUUCCGCCUCCCAAUGUGAAAGUCAGAUCAUAAACUUUUAAAUUGAUAGUGAUUCGACAUGUUUUGAAGAAAUGAUAAUGUGGUACGUAUGACAUAUACAGACGUGAACACGUCAGUGCUUUGCAGAAACAUUAAACCUUUGGAAUCUUAAAAAUACUUAAUGUUUAUUUGAAAUUCACUUUCAGAAAAAGCUUUAAUCGAUUUUGUAUAUUAACAACAGGUCACAUAACUUCUUGUAUGAUAAACCGGUUGCUUCACUGGGAAUUAUUACCUGGCUCUGCAGUUUCAGUCAGCAUGGUGGGUUAGAGCUUUUAUUUUUUAGCAUCUUUCAGGUCAGUCAUUUAGUUUCAUACGUCACAACUUUGCUCUUUUUACUUUCAGAACCAUACGCUGCAUUCAGGUGCUCCUCGGAUGGUCCUGCUACCCCAAGUUUGGAAGUCGUUCCUCUGAUGUUGGUGUGUCGGAGGCAACGUGGACUCCAAAAAGAGGUGCAUAGAUCCUCCACGGCCGCAAUGUUUUCUUGAACGGUUCCAUGAAGUCGUGGAAGGAGUAGCCUCCUCGAGCCCUUCUCAUGGGGCUGUGGAGGUACAGUGCGCUGGGAAUAAAAGGUUUGCUAACCACUGCAUUAGAUAUACUUCAGUUGACUUGCAGUCGAAUGCUGUUAUUAGUAUUUGGUCUAAUAGUCUCACGGGUGAAAUAUCCAAUAAAAACAUUGUGGACAAGUCAACGAAAAUAAUUGAUUUUGCUAUUAAACCAUGUCCCGUUGAAUUAUGGGGGAAACUCGACUGCAGCUUUAAUCAGAUCUACUUGGUUGCUUAAAAAGUAAUUGCUGAGUGCAUUAAAAAAAAUGCAGCUCCUUAACUUUAGGAUGCGGAGCCAAAUCCGAGAGUCGCUUUAGCUUUUUUUCAGUAGGAAAAAAAACAAACAUACACCUGUUGAUCAUUCAACUUUGUGAAUGAGAACACACAACAUGCUGACAAACAUGUCAUUUCCCCAGGGAGAGGGCUGGGAGAUCCCAGAGCGUUGUUUGCUUGUUGGAAAAACUGUCUGGGACGCUUUCCAGGAUUUACCCAAAGAGAAAAGCUGUGUUUUUCUUUGCUGAUGUUGUUGAGAGUGAAUGGAGAGCAGAUUGUAGAGGCUAUGUCUCUCAUGUCUGUCCAAGGCCUUGAUACCUUUGAUCUUCUUAGGAAACAAACAAGCUUUUAAACUUGGCACUCCUGGAGCUAGUAUCUCCCUUUUUCUGACUCUGUUCAUCAAAUCGCUGAUCCUGAGAAAAUUGAUCUUCGCCUGAAUAGUUAUGCAUGCACAUGCUUAUGCAAUGAUCUGUGAUUUAAAAUGUGGAGCGAGCAUAGCUAAGAUAAAAAAAAAAAAAAGAAUGUUUUUUUUUUUUUUGUUUUUUUUUACCAGAUCUUAACGCAGCACAACAGCAUGUAGCUUUGGGAUAAAUAUUUGCAAAAGCCUGUGUUUUUUUUUUGUUUUUUUUUCCCCCAUAUCUUUGAACAAACUACUGAGCACAUAAACAAAACAGUUUUAAUCAGCUACAAACAAUGUUUCAAGCAUCAGAAUUUGCAUCUCCAAGUAACAUUUGUUUUGCUUCUUUUUUUUUCAAAAAGGGAUCAAACGAAGAUUAGAACGACACGGAAACAGUUUUAAGUGAAGAGAGGUUCCCGCUCUGGUUCAUCACAUUUGAUCCUCCUCAGAAACCCGCUGUGCCAACUGUUCAUUAACUUCAGACUCAGCGUAGUUUUUACAUAAAUGUUUACCAAGUGGAGGUUAUGGAAACAAAGAGGGGUUACACUACAUACAGUAAGUAUUUUGCACCUUUAGAGGAAGGCUAACGUGAAAUAGUUGACCUGACGCUCGAUCGAAACGCUGUUCAAUAAAAAGAUUUAAAGAUUUAAACCAACAAAACUCCAGAUUACAUUAAGCACAAAACACAAUAUAGCUCAAAUUACAAAACAUCAAGCUUAUAACAUUAAAUGAUCUAAAAGUUCUGUGAGCCUGACUUGCAUCAUCUUCAUCCCUCUCACUCAUAACUACAUGAGAAGUCUACUGCCAACUCUGAAACAAAUGCUUUCAUAUACAGUAUGAAUACAGCAGAUCAAAACUACAAUUGCAAAUGAGUGGCUGUUUACAUGAAUAUUAAGUUUGGAUUCUGGAGAAUUAUAUUUUUAGAAUUAAAACUGCAGCCAGGAUCUGUUGUCCUGUUCAUGUAAUUGAUUGCUUUUGACUGAACAGUGCUACAUAUGUUUCCAGCUACCGAUAUACACUUUUCUUUUAAGUUUUUUUACGAGCUAAGAAAAUUAAAAAGUUCUAACAUUGCAACCCUAUAUAGUUAGCCACUAGUUUGAAACAAGCUUAUAGUUACUAUAAAUGUGCAUGAAGGAUGUAUAAACUACAUGAAGGAUUGAGCGGAUGCAGCCCAGCAGAUCUCCCGGGGGAAACACACAACUCACCCAGUGGAAACAAGCUGAAAAAGCAGGAAGUUGGUUCUGAAAAUGUGUAUAUAUGUUGUCGUAUAUAGGAACAUUCAGAAAAACUCUGCCAUGUCAUUUUUUACCUCUUAAGGACUUUCA
rnacentral:lncRNA from 1 species